rnacentral:rRNA from 1 species
UACGGAGGAUGCAAGCGUUAUCCGGAAUGAUUGGGCGUAAAGCGUCCGCAGGUGGCUAUGUAAGUCUGCUGUCAAAGAGCGAAGCUCAACUUCGUAAAGGCAGUGGAAACUACACGGCUAGAGUGCGUUCGGGGCAGAGGGAAUUCCUGGUGUAGCGGUGAAAUGCGUAGAGAUCAGGAAGAACACCGGUGGCGAAAGCGCUCUGCUAGGCCGCAACUGACACUGAGGGACGAAAGCUAGGGGAGCGAAUGGG